UUUUGCAAUAAGAAUAUUUAUGAUUUAAUUGGUUUUAUUUAUAAUUCCAAUUAUUAAAAGAUGAGUAAGAAUAUUGUUGGUGUUCUUAACUCAAGAGAAAAUGUUUUCAAUUAUUUAUUCAUUAAAUUUUGAAAACCCGGCUAAGUGAAUCAUAGAAUAUUAAGCACUACACCAUGACUUAAGAUUAGAAUUCAAGGAGACCUAUUGAGAAUAGAUUUCUUGUAGGCUUUGAGCAACAGGAGGAUUAGCACUGCUAUUCCGAUUCAGAGAUAAGGAUAAACGACAGGCUUUGCCUAAUCAGGUUGAGCAGUUGAUGGAAUGGAAUGAUGUUGAGCGGGUGUUCCUUUGACAUUUCAAGAAAUGUAACCUUGAGUAUACAUCUUCAUAUGUAUAUCUCACACGUUUUCCGCUGCAAAACACUUUGAUUAGGAUAGCUCUAUGUUAUGAAGUUGUUAUACGUGUUAUUGGGUAACCCACCUUAAUCAGUUCUCAUUUAUGUGUAUGUUUUAUAAGUAUCCAAAUAAUCAUAUAUAAUCCUAGCAUUUUAUCUAUGAGUGACAUUUCCAUAUACUUUAAUGUUAAGUAAUUGUCCAUUUCCA